rnacentral:rRNA from 1 species
GACUCUCGGCAACGGAUAUCUCAGCUCUCGCAUCGAUGAAGAACGUAGCGAAAUGCGAUACGUGGUGUGAAUUGCAGAAUCCCGUGAACCAUCGAGUUUUUGAACGCAAGUUACGCCCGAAGCCUUCAGGUUGAGGGCACGUCUGCCUGGGU